AUGGAUGAGGUCACAAGGGAUAUACAAGGAGAUAUCCCAUGGUGUAUGCUCUUUGCAGAUGAUGUGGUGCUAGUUGACGAUAGUCGGACGGGGGUAAAUAGGAAGUUAGAGUUAUGGAGACAAACCUUGGAAUCGAAAGGGUUUAGGCUUAGUAGAACUAAAACCGAGUACAUGAUGUGCGGUUUCAGUACUACUAGGUGUGAGGAGGAGGAGGUUAGCAUUGAUGGCCGGGUGGUACCUUGGAAGGACACCUUUCGGUAUUUGGGGUCAAUGUUGCAGGAGGAUGGGGGUAUUGAUGAAGAUGUGAACCAUCGAAUCAAAGCCGGAUGGAUGAAGUGGCGCCAAGCUUCUGACAUUCUCUGUGACAAGAGAGUGCCACAAAAGCUAAAAGGCAAGUUCUACAGGACGGCGGUUCGACCCGCAAUGUUGUAUGGCGCGGAGUGUUGGCCGACUAAAAGGCGACAUGUUCAACAGUUAGGUGUGGCGGAGAUGCAUAUGUUGAGAUGGAUGUGUGGCCACACGAGGAAGGAUCGAGUCUGGAAUGAUGAUAUACGAGACAGAGUUGGGGUAGCACCAAUUGAGGAGAAGCUUGUCCAACAUCGUCUGAGAUGGUUUGGGCAUAUUCAGCGCAGGCCUCCAGAAGCUCUAGUGCAUAGCGGACGGUUAAAGCGUGCGGAGAAUGUCAAGAGAGGGCGGGGUAGACCGAAUUUGACAUGGGAGGAGUCCGUUAAGAGAGACCUGAAGGAUUGGAGUAUCACCAAAGAGCCAGCUAUGGACAGGGGUGCGUGGAAGCUUGCUAUCCAUGUGCCAGAGCCAUGA
rnacentral:rRNA from 1 species